CUUUCUAUGAAAUAAAAGAUCUGCUUUUAAUUUAUUUAUAUUUCUCUUAUUUGAAAUCAUAUUUAGAAUAAUCUAUACUCUUAAAAUGAGCCGUGAUCUACGGAUACGGUUCAUAUCGUUGGGGUAAAUUAUUUUUAAAUACGAUUUCUUCUCACUUUGUAUGCAUCUCAUCUUGACUAGCUUAUACUCCAGAAAAAUAAAUCAUGAUCCAACAAAUACAAGUUGUGCUUUCACCAGAC
rnacentral:lncRNA from 1 species